AUCCUUUAAAACCGGCGUCAUUGCUUCUAUAUUAAAGAUGCUGGUUCGCCAGCUAUGGCGAUAAACGUGCUGUAGAAUAAGCAGAGCGGACCCGGGGGCGGUACCCGGCGCCUCCACCAUUUUAGCCCGAAACGACGGCCAUCACGGCCAGCAGCAGAAUUUGGGCUAAAAGAUUGGGGGCGAAAUAGGAUCGACGCAUGUGGUAAAGGCAGUAUUUUUGCUCGGUAUGGUACCCGCCGUUAUCGGGCCAUGUAGUAGUUGCAAAUGACAACACUGCUCCGGUAGCAAUCGCAGCCUAAAGGCAGCGGGAGUAACCGAUCUUAAGUCCAGAUCGAUUGAGCUCGGUCUGGCGGGGUUUGGGGCGCACCUGGCAACAGAAGCGUUCCGCU
rnacentral:tmRNA from 1 species